UGCUUCUGUUGUCGUCUAGGCAUGGUAAUC
rnacentral:piRNA from 1 species